rnacentral:lncRNA from 1 species
GUGGAGCUGAGGGUGGAAGGGGAGUGAGCUGACGCUCGGAAGGUGUCUUGAGAUUAUCAUCCGCUGAGGGUGGAAGGGGAGUGAGCAGACACUCAGGAGGUGUCUUGAGAUUAUCAUCCGCUGAGGGUGGAAGGGGAGUGAGCACACACUCGGGAGGUGUCUUGAGGCUCAGGGAGUUAUCAGUUAUAGAAUGUUGUUGAGUUGGAGGAGGUGGCUGGUGGCCCAUCCUGUUUUUUAAAGUUUCAGCUGUGAGGUA